rnacentral:rRNA from 1 species
AACGAACGCUGGCGGCAUGCCUAACACAUGCAAGUCGAACGAGACCUUCGGGUCUAGUGGCGCACGGGUGCGUAACGCGUGGGAACCUGCCCUUAGGUUCGGAAUAACUCCCCGAAAGGGGUGCUAAUACCGGAUAAUGUCUUCGGACCAAAGAUUUAUCGCCUUUGGAUGGGCCCGCGUUGGAUUAGCUAGUUGGUAGGGUAAAAGCCUACCAAGGCGACGAUCCAUAGCUGGUCUGAGAGGAUGAUCAGCCACACUGGGACUGAGACACGGCCCAGACUCCUACGGAAGGCAGCAGUGGGGAAUAUUGGACACUGGGCGAAAGCCUGAUCCAGCAAUGCCGCGUGAGUGAUGAAGGCCUUAGGGUUGUAAAGCUCUUUUACCCGGGAUGAUAAUGACAGUACCGGGAGAAUAAGCUCCGGCUAACUCCGUA